GUGCCAGCAGCCGCGGUAAUACCCGCAGCUCAAGUGGUGGUCAUUAUUAUUGGGCUUAAAGCGUCCGUAGCUGGCUUGUUAGAUGCCUGGGUAAAUCGAUGUGCUUAACGCAUCGAAUUCCGGGUAGACCGGCAAGCUCGAGACCGGGAGAGGUGUAGGCUACUCGGGGGGUAGGGGUAAAAUCCUGUAAUCCUCCGGGGAGGACCAGUGGCGAAGGCGCUACACUAGAACGGCUCUGACAGUGAGGGACGAAGCCCUGGGGCGCAAACCGGAUUAGAUACCCUAGUAGUCC
rnacentral:rRNA from 1 species